rnacentral:tRNA from 1 species
GGGUAGGUACCAAAGCGGUCAAAUGGAGCUGACUGUAAAUCAGCUGGCUUUAUGUCUUCGGGGGUUCGAAUCCCUCCCUACCCA